rnacentral:snRNA from 1 species
GUGCUCACUUCAGCAGCACAUAUACUAAAAUUGGAAUGAUACAGAGAAGAUUAGCAUGGCCCCUGCGUAAGACACGCAAAUUUGUGAAGCGUUCCAUAUUUUU